CCUACGGGCGGCUGCAGUGGGGAAUAUUGCACAAUGGGCGCAAGCCUGAUGCAGCCAUGCCGCGUGUGUGAAGAAGGCCUUCGGGUUGUAAAGCACUUUCAGCGGGGAGGAAGGCGGUGAGGUUAAUAACCUCAUCGAUUGACGUUACCCGCAGAAGAAGCACCGGCUAACUCCGUGCCAGCAGCCGCGGUAAUACGGAGGGUGCAAGCGUUAAUCGGAAUUACUGGGCGUAAAGCGCACGCAGGCGGUCUGUCAAGUCGGAUGUGAAAUCCCCGGGCUCAACCUGGGAACUGCAUUCGAAACUGGCAGGCUAGAGUCUUGUAGAGGGGGGUAGAAUUCCAGGUGUAGCGGUGAAAUGCGUAGAGAUCUGGAGGAAUACCGGUGGCGAAGGCGGCCCCCUGGACAAAGACUGACGCUCAGGUGCGAAAGCGUGGGAAGCAAACAGGAUUAGAUACCCCAGUAGUC
rnacentral:rRNA from 1 species